rnacentral:misc_RNA from 1 species
UCGCUGAAAUGCUCACGACACCAAAGCUCUCAAAAACCCAUAUCAAUCCAGAACAUUUCACAAAGGUAAAAAUUAUCAUUCGUUGCUCAAAAAUUUCCGUCAAAUCUAGUUUAUUGCAGCAGUGCUAGUAUAACAAAUGGUAAAAAAAAAACAGAGCUCUAUGGGCCUACCCAACUGACUGAUCCAUCCCUUAAGAUUUCCCAAGCAAUUGAUGUUCAGAACCUUUAGGAAAAUAAAAUAGACAUUGAAGUCCAUUACUCUAUAGCCACAUGAUAAAACAGACAUCUAUGGUAUCAGCAAUGGAUAGAACAUGCCCUAGAGGCAAUUAUGAGGCCGAAAUGACGUUUUAAUGCAAGAUGCAUCUAAGAUUAAUUUGCAGAAGUCAUCUGCUUAACUACUGCAAAACACUCUGUCAAGAAAUUAUGAAGCACUGAUAGAUAUAUGUCUGGGAAAGUUCGGUAGUGAUCCACAUGAGGGGAUGACCCAAAAUUAUAGGAUAGUACUUUUCUCCCCAUCUUCCUUUGGUCCUCGAUCAGUGACUCUACUGAUUGAUAUGGAACAACCUUAUCGGCUGGGCUGUAUAGGUAAAGCUGAGGACAAGAGGGUUGGUCCUUUGAGAGGUCGGAGACAAUCUUCUUCAACUUUUGAUCCACAUCAGGCAACUUCAGCACUACAGAGAAUAGCUUCUCCAAUACUGAUAGAACCAUGGCUUCAACUAAUGGUGGUUCCUUUUCCUGAAUCUCGGACUCACAGUCUUGACUUUCUAAUUCACUUAUUUCUUUGGCCUCAACCAAAGGCUGUGCUCCAGAGCUGUGUUUCUUCAACAAAGCAGCAGAAAAUCCAGCAGCCCAGACCUUAGGAUUAAAGGGGUCGCCUCCUCCUGAAUCAACAACACAUCCUUUGAUCUUCUCCUUAAGGUCCUCUCUUCCUUGCAGCAUGUCAAGAAUGUAACCAUACACAAACCAACCGGUGUUGCUAAAAGUGUGAAAAAACAAACACUGUUCUCUACCAUCUUCCUGUCUCUCUGAAACCCACGAAAUGAGCUCGUUUACCAAAGCAGCUAUCCGCUUCUCAACUCUCUCCCCGAAAUCAAACCCAAACAACUCUCCCACUCCAACAACGAAUGUAAUAGCGUUAAUCCCUCUUGAAUUGUACCACUCAACGUACUUCUUUAGAUGUUUCUGCUUCGCUCCAAGCCAACCCAACAACACCACAGUCACAACUGGGUCUUUGGCACCCAAAGCACCGAUGAUGCCACUCUCCGGAGCUCGGUGCCAAGCGAAAACACCGUCGUUUGGAUGAAAUUUGAAACUGAAAUUGGAAUAAUUACUUGGAAUCAAUGGGUUCAAGAGGUGCGGAGAUGAAAGAGAGAGAACGAAACUCCUGGGGUUUGGAUUUGGAGUGAUGGGUGUACGAGAAACGGGUGAAAAGGAAGAGUGAAUGCGAGAAAGAGGAAGGGAAGCUGUUGAAAUGAAGUGGAUUGGGCGAUGGUGUUGAGGGCUCAACGAUCGAUAAGGAAUGAGAGGGGACUGCAGAAAAUUUCUCGGUGUAUUGAGGAGCUGGCGAUUGAAGAUUCUCACCUGAAUUUCCAUGGCGGAUUUUCAAUUUUCAAAGGCCCGAGCGGAGAAAUCCCACGUUUUUGUUUCGGUUUAAAAAGGGCUAGUUACUGGAAUUUUGAAAAUUAUACUCUCUCUCCGUCACCCUCAACCCACAACCACUGUCCCCGUC